ACCAUCUUGUCGGAGUGCCCUUUUGGGCUGAGACCGCGAAAGCGGGAUCCGUUGAACCUGAUCAGGCUAAUACCUGCGAAGGGAAGCAAGUAAAGAACCCGC
rnacentral:ncRNA from 2 species